UCCAGAGGGGAUUCCCGGCCACCGCCAGGGCCGCGGAUUUUCCCGCUGGCUACGUGGGCAGCAGGGAGGAGCCCGGCCGUAAACUUCCUCCUGAGAUGGAGGCCCAAGUUGGGGGUGGAUGGGACCCCUUACGCCUAGAUCCAGAGGACAGGAACUGGAGCUGGACACCAGGGCGAGCACAGUGGUCCCUGGCAUCCAGGCUUUAGUCCCAGUGACUCAGCAGAUGGGCAGACCGAGUCAGGGAUGGCAGAUGUUGCCCGUCUCCUGGGAAUCGAAACUGGAAUUCCUCCUUCCUGCUCGCGACCCAGCCGGACUCCGCGAAUCCCUGCGUGCCCCUGCCCCACCCCCACCCCAGAUUUGUGCGUUUGGCCCUAAAAUUGGCUAGCUCAGGGAUUUGUAGGCUGGGCGGGCAAGCGAGUCCCUGGCCCCUCCUUCCCCUUUUCCCGUAGUCCUCGAGGUUCUGUUUACAACAGACCGGAGCCCUGGUUACAGGAGAGGAACCUAGGCGUCCGGGCUGAGCGUCCUCGUCACGGCUUCCAGGAAGCCCCUCUUCCCCGCCCUUGCGAGUGAGUCACCGGCGAGCGGGAGGCCGCAACCGUGCCAGAGCAGCUCGCGACCCGCCCAGCUCACGGGACCAGCCCAGGAAGGCCCCUCGGCCCCAGAAAGCGCAGCACUAGGGAUUCCCCCAGGGCUGCGCAGGCUUGGAGCCUGGCAGAAUCACCCCACCUCAAUACAAGUUGCUGUGCAGCCUACAAGAA